UACAGAGGGGGCAAGCGUUAUUCGGAAUUACUGGGCGUAAAGCGCACGUAGGCGGCUUUGUAAGUUAGAGGUGAAAGCCCGGGGCUCAACCCCGGAACUGCCUUUAAGACUGCAUAGCUUGAAUCCAGGAGAGGUGAGUGGAAUUCCGAGUGUAGAGGUGAAAUUCGUAGAUAUUCGCAAGAACACCAGUGGCGAAGGCGGCUUACUGGUCCGGUUCUGACGCUGAGGCGCGAAAGCGUGGGGAGCAAACAGG
rnacentral:rRNA from 1 species